CUAAGGAUAAGGAACUGCGCAUUGGUCUUGUUUAGUCUUGAGAGGUCUUGUGGGGCCUUAGCUCAGCUGGGAGAGCGCCUGCUUUGCACGCAGGAGGUCAGCGGUUCGAUCCCGCUAGGCUCCAUUGGUGAGAGAUCACCAAGUAAUGCACAUUGAAAAUUGAAUAUCUAUAUCAAAUAGUAACAAGAAAAUAA
rnacentral:tRNA from 3 species